rnacentral:lncRNA from 1 species
UUGAUGGGUCGGUUGUGAUUGCAUGCCGGCUUCUUAGUGAUUGUCUUACGUCAGAUACAUGCAUCCCUUUUCUGAGUGUUGAGUCCAAGCAUUGAGCACGGAGUCUUACCAACUUCUCAAUAAAGUGGAGAGUUUGGUGAUAAUUCACUCAUUCUACCAAGACUACCAUGGUGGUGGUGUUCUUCUUGUUCUUAUCUCCACGUUUUGCUAGAGCCGUCUCAGAGGAUACUAUGAAGGCUGGGAACCUAGGGCCUUAGGUCAUGUCUGAGU